rnacentral:misc_RNA from 1 species
UUUCCGUAGGUGAACCUGCGGAAGGAUCAUUAUUGUAUAACCGAGGUGCGAGGGCUGUCGCUGACCCGACAGGUCGUGAACGCCCGAGUGCCCUCACACACAUCCAUCUCACCCCUAUGUGCACCACCGCGUGGGUCCCCCUUUGGCUUGUUCGGAGGGGGGCUUACGUUUUCACACAAACUUUGUAUGCAGUGUAGAAUGUAUUUUUUGUUUUUGCGAUCACGCAAUCAAUACAACUUUCAACAACGGAUCUCUUGGCUCUC